rnacentral:rRNA from 1 species
UGAACGCUAGCUACAGGCUUAACACAUGCAAGUCGAGGGGCAGCAUGGUCUUAGCUUGCUAAGGCCGAUGGCGACCGGCGCACGGGUGAGUAACACGUAUCCAACCUGCCGUCUACUCUUGGACAGCCUUCUGAAAGGAAGAUUAAUACAAGAUGGCAUCAUGAGUCCGCAUGUUCACAUGAUUAAAGGUAUUCCGGUAGACGAUGGGGAUGCGUUCCAUUAGAUAGUAGGCGGGGUAACGGCCCACCUAGUCUUCGAUGGAUAGGGGUUCUGAGAGGAAGAUCCCCCACAUUGGAACUGAGACACGGUCCAAACUCCUACGGGAGGCAGCAGUGAGGAAUAUUGGUCAAUGGGCGAGAGCCUGAACCAGCCAAGUAGCGUGAAGGAUGACUGCCCUAUGGGUUGUAAACUUCUUUUAUAAAGGAAUAAAGUCGGGUAUGGAUACCCGUUUGCAUGUACUUUAUGAAUAAGGAUCGGCUAACUCCGUGCCAGCAGCCGCGGUAAUACGGAGGAUCCGAGCGUUAUCCGGAUUUAUUGGGUUUAAAGGGAGCGUAGAUGGAUGUUUAAGUCAGUUGUGAAAGUUUGCGGCUCAACCGUAAAAUUGCAGUUGAUACUGGAUAUCUUGAGUGCAGUUGAGGCAGGCGGAAUUCGUGGUGUAGCGGUGAAAUGCUUAGAUAUCACGAAGAACUCCGAUUGCGAAGGCAGCCUGCUAAGCUGCAACUGACAUUGAGGCUCGAAAGUGUGGGUAUCAAACAGGAUUAGAUACCCUGGUAGUCCACACGGUAAACGAUGAAUACUCGCUGUUUGCGAUAUACGGCAAGCGGCCAAGCGAAAGCGUUAAGUAUUCCACCUGGGGAGUACGCCGGCAACGGUGAAACUCAAAGGAAUUGACGGGGGCCCGCACAAGCGGAGGAACAUGUGGUUUAAUUCGAUGAUACGCGAGGAACCUUACCCGGGCUUAAAUUGCAGAUGAAUUACGGUGAAAGCCGUAAGCCGCAAGGCAUCUGUGAAGGUGCUGCAUGGUUGUCGUCAGCUCGUGCCGUGAGGUGUCGGCUUAAGUGCCAUAACGAGCGCAACCCUUGUUGUCAGUUACUAACAGGUUCCGCUGAGGACUCUGACAAGACUGCCAUCGUAAGAUGUGAGGAAGGUGGGGAUGACGUCAAAUCAGCACGGCCCUUACGUCCGGGGCUACACACGUGUUACAAUGGGGGGUACAGAGGGCCGCUACCACGCGAGUGGAUGCCAAUCCCAAAAACCUCUCUCAGUUCGGACUGGAGUCUGCAACCCGACUCCACGAAGCUGGAUUCGCUAGUAAUCGCGCAUCAGCCACGGCGCGGUGAAUACGUUCCCGGGCCUUGUACACACCGCCCGUCAAGCCAUGGGAGCCGGGGGUACCUGAAGUGCGUAACCGCGAGGAGCGCCCUAGGGUAAAACUGGUGACUGGGGCUA